GGUGGCUCAGUGGUAGAGCGCUUGGCUUGCUAUGCCUGAGGCCCUGGGUUCAAUUCCCCAGCACCA
rfam:Dipodomys ordii contig_39981, whole genome shotgun sequence.